CCCCUAGAUGUUCUGGGCCGCACGCGCGCUACACUGAACAGUUCAACAAGUCUUAACCUUGGCCGAUAGGUCUGGGUAAUCUUUGAACGCUGUUCGUGAUUGGGAUAGACCUUUGCAAUUAUGGGUCUUCAACGAGGAAUUCCUAGUAAACGCAAGUCAUCAGCUUGCAUUGAUUACGUCCCUGCCCUUUGUACACACCGCCCGUCGCACCUACCGAUUGAAUGGUUUAGUGAGACCCUCGGAUUCGUCCCAGCAGGGUGGGUUCCCCUACCCUUUUGGUGUGCGGAGAAGACGGUCGAACUUGAUCAUUUAGAGGAAGUAAAAGUCGUANCA
rnacentral:rRNA from 1 species